GGCACUAUAGCCAAGUGGUUAAGGCGAUUGAUUAGAAUUGAUCAGCCUAUACGGUUGGAUUAGUCAUCAAUUCCACUUUGUGGGCGCAGGUUCGAAUCCUGCUGGUGUCG